AUGUCAAAGCCACACUCAGCUGUCUCCAAUGUCCUUAGAGGUGCUUAUCCCUUGAUCACCAUCUCAUUUUUCCUACAGGGUUUGGCUGACCUUUGUGUGCUGAAACCUACAAAAACCAGACCCUGGUCAAGAGCGGUUAGACCAUGUGAGCAGUUACCAUGUGACAGCAGACCAUUCUUGCCAAGGAUGGGAAGCAAGAACGUAGGGAUUGUGGCAAUAUGUUUAAUGAAGACGAUUAAAUCUGGAAAUCAAAGAAUAAUAUAUAGAAUGAGAAAAUUGAAGCCUAGGAAAUGUGAGGAAAUGGACUGGUGCCUGUGAUCUUCACACCCAGAUGUUUCAUAGAUCCAUCAGAGCAGGACAGGAAAAAUCAAGUAGCAUCUCUGAGGCUGUGGCUUCACUGUCUGUCCACUCAUGGAGAGAUCUGGGGAACAAAGAAGGUAUAUGUAGAGGUUUGUGAGAAUCUCAUUAAUUUCAAAUCCACCUUUUGACUCAAAGGAUUGAGUGUCUAGACUUUGCUAUGGUCAAUGGGCAGGAAGCAAAAAUGUUUUGACCGGAAUUUACAUACAGG
rnacentral:lncRNA from 1 species